rnacentral:piRNA from 1 species
UCCUGACGUCCUGGGUUCAAAGCUCCUUU